UGUCAGUAUAGACUGCUAUACGGUGAAACCUGCAAAAAGGAUCAGUAAACCAGACAUGAUUCACUGGAGUAAACCUUGACUGUGUCUUGGAUAACUGUGGUAAUUCUAGAGCUAAUACAUGCAACCUAAGUCUCCGACCGGUAACGGCGGGGACGCUUUUAUUAGGAUCAAGACCAUUCGCUUCGGCGUUCACUUGAUGACUCAGAAUAACACCUCAGAUCGCGUCGGUCUCUGUACCGGCGACUUAUCUUUCAAAUGCCUGACUUAUCAACUGACGAUGGUAGACUCCGCGUCUACCAUGGUCGUUACGGGUAACGGGGAAUCAGGGUUCGAUUCCGGAGAGGGAGCCUGAGAAACGGCUACCACAUCCAAGGAAGGCAGCAGGCACGCAAAUUACCCACUCCCGGCACGGGGAGGUAGUGACAAAAAAUAACGAUACGGGACUCUUUUAGAGGCCCCGUAAUCGGAAUGAAUACACUUUAAAACCUUGUUUAAAGGUCAAUCGGAGGGAAAGUCUGGUGCCAGCAGCCGCGGUAACUCCAGCUCCGAUAGCGUAUAUUAAAAUUGUUGCGGUUAAAAAGCUCGUAGUUGGUUCUGCGUACCACGCUGUCGGUACACCGCCUGUCGGUGACACUGGCAUGCCGUGGUAUGUCCUGUCGGUGGCGGCCGUGUAAGCCCCGCGGAAAGCGGCACCGGGUCAUGCCGAGCCGUGUUCAUACCGCGGGGUCCAAGCGCGGUCGCCGACUCCUAUCCUACCGCGGUGCCCUUCAUUGAGUGUCGAGGUAGGCCGACACGUUUACUUUGAACAAAUUAGAGUGCUUAAAGCAGGCUCAAAUUUCUGCCUGAAUAGUGGUGCAUGGAAUAAUGGAACAGGCCCUUGGUCCUAUUCUGUUGGUCUCCGGGACACAAGGUAAUGAUCAAUAUGGACAGUGCGGGGGCAUUCGUAUUGCGGCGUUAGAGGUGAAAUUCUUGGAUCGUCGCAAGACGCACUAGAGCGAAAGCAUUUGCCAAGUAUGUCUUAAUUGAUCAAGAACGAAAGUAGAGUGAGCAGCGAUCCGCCGAUGUUCCUCCGAUGACUCGGCGGGGAGCUUCCCCCGGGAAACCAAAGCGUUUGGGUUCCGGGGGAAGUAUGGUUGCAAAGCUGAAACUUAAAGGAAUUGACGGAAGGGCACCACCAGGAGUGGAGCCUGCGGCUUAAUUUGACUCAACACGGGAAACCUCACCAGGUCAGGACAUUGGAAUGAUUGACAGAUUGAUAGCUCUUUCUUGAUUCAGUGGGUAGUGGUGCAUGGCCGUUCUUAGUUGGUGGACCGAUUUGUCUGGUUAAUUCCGAUAACGAACGAGACUCUAGCCUAUUAACUAGACGUUUCCGGUAUCGUAGCUACCGGCGAAAAGUUCUCUUCUUAGGGGGACAGGCGGCUUUUAGCCGCACGAGAUUGAGCAAUAACAGGUCUGUAAUGCCCUUAGAUGUCCUGGGCCGCACGCGCGCUACACUGAAGGAAUCAGCGUGUGUCUUCCCUUGGCCGAAAGGUCCGGGUAACCCGCUGAACCUCCUUCGUGCUAGGAAUUGGGGCUUGCAAUUGUUCCCCAUGAACGAGGAAUUCCCAGUAAGCGCGAGUCAUAAGCUGGCGUUGAUUACGUCCCUGCCCUUUGUACACACCGCCCGUCGCUGCUACCGAUUGAAUGGUUUAGUGAGGUCUUCGGACCGGCGGUAAGCGGGACCGUCUUCGUGUCGGUCUUGCCGAACGCUGGGAAGAUGACCAAACUCGAGCAUUAGAGCAGGA
rnacentral:rRNA from 1 species